rnacentral:rRNA from 1 species
GAUGAACGCUGACAGAAUGCUUAACACAUGCAAGUCGAUGGGGAAGUGGUGCUUGCACCAUGGUAACCAUGGCGGACGGGUGAGUAACGCGUAAGGAACUUGCCUGCGGGACUGGGAUAACAGCAGGAAACUGCUGAUAAUACCGGAUAAGGUCAUUAAGCUGCAUAGCUUAGUGAUGAAAGGAGACGCCUGCGGAGAGCCUUGCGUCCUAUUAGCUAGUUGGAGGGGUAACGGCCCACCAAGGCGAAGAUAGGUAGCCGGCCUGAGAGGGUGGACGGCCACCAGGGGACUGAGGAACGGCCCUUAAUCCUAAGGGAGGCAGCAGUGGGGAAUAUUGGAACAUGGGGGCAACCCUGAUCCAGCAAUUCUGUGGGCAAGAAGAAGGGUUUCGGAUUGUAAAGUGCUUUCAGCAGGGAAGAAGGAAGUGACGGUACCUGCAGAAGAAGCGACGGCUAAAUACGUG